AAAAAAUUUGAAGAUGUGGAAACAGUCAUUGAUUUUGGAAAAGAUCAAGCGAAAGUUAUAGAUGGCUUUGGGAAAUAUUUCGGUAUCAAUUGGUUGGUGAGGAGAGACGAGAGUUCAUAUUUUGCUAAGAAAAUGAAGGAAUGGCUCUUCCUCAAACCAAUGUGGGUCAACUAACAUCGAAGAAUAAAAUUAGGACGAAGAUAUAUGACUAGAGAAGAAGAGUUCAAGGAUAAUAGUAGAAGAAAAGAUGGACUUCCAAUCUAUCAAGAGACCCUCAACCCACAUGUUUUGAUUAAGGUCAGAUGCAAAACCUUGGUUUUAUAUAUUUUGUUUCCUUUUUUAU